UAUUAUUUUUAUUUUACAAACUUCUCAUAAAUUCAGCGCAUAGCUACUAUUACAACCAGAAAGUUGAUUACAAUACAAAAGAAUAUACAAAAUAGUUCACAUUCUUCAUUUCUUUAUAAAAAUGAGGAUUAACAUACGAAUUAUUUUUACACGAUUCUAAUCAUAUAUUCUACUAACUUCUAUUACUAAUAUUAUUUCAUACCGAUUUAUACCAUGGUUGUUAUUUUACAUCAAAAUAAAGCAACUUAUUAUUAAAGACAUUCCUAUAUACAUAAAUCAUAAUUUAAGAAUUAUAAUAAAUAUUUUACAUUUUCCGUAAAUAUGAAUUCCAAUUCUAUUUAAAGAAAACGAUUCAGAUCAUGGAAUAAUAUGACUACAUAUGUACUAUAUAUAUAUUUUGCAAUUGAUUAAAAAUAUGUAUAUAAGAAUAUGAAAUUACAGACGAAAGAAUAUUUUAAAUUUAAUACAAACAGCAUACAUAUCCUCGGUAUAUAUGUGAAGAUGGCAGUAAAGGAAACGGCCAUAUUAUUUCAGAACAUAUUUUUCAAAUCAAAGAUACUUAAUUAUUAUAAUCACAAGUAACAUUUCAGAAAUGAAAUUAAAUUUUAAAAUAGCAAUUUAUUUAGGUGGUAUAGAAGUUAAAUAUCGCCCAAAAUUUUUCUAUAUCGGUCGUAGGUAUAAUAUUGAUUACUUAUGAUUCAUGCUAUCCCCUUUAAGGUGGUUCAUCCUUGUCCCCAUCCGCACUCCACCGCUCUGAGUUUCCGCCACUUCUACCAUCUCUCUCUUUCUCUUUCUCUCUUCAUUUUUGUUGCUCUUUUUUUACGGUCAUCUCGCUUCUUAUUCUCUCUAUUUCUUUUGCACUUCAGUCAGUUUCUUUCUCCUUUCCACGUGGCAUCGUUCUUUCUUUCUUUCUUUCUCGCUUAUUCACUUACAUACAUAUAUAUAUGUACGCGUGCGCGCACACAAAUAUACGCAAUCGCACGUAUUAUCCCACUACUUGCUCUAUUCCUGCGUGUAACGACUCAAUGGCGUUGCCACACCCUUUCGCCAUCGAGUAAUCAGUGUUAUUGUUUUACAGUUCCACUUCUGUUAUUAUUUCUCGUUAUAAGGAGCGUAAUGUAUCGAUUCGAGAAAUAUUUUAAACACAUCGCGACAAUGUGUAUUCGUAUUUAACGAAAUAAAACAGGGAGAAACGAUGAUUCAGCAUUAAAAUCGGUUAUAUCGAUAAUGAAGGAAUAAUAUGUAAAGAAACCAAUUUGUGUAGUCUACGCCCCUGGAUUCUUGAUGUUUGGGCUUGGUUUUACAGAUAUACCAUAUUACAUAUUUCGUUUAUUUCGAAACAAAUUUUAAAUUUGCAGUAUGAAAUAGUUCAUCGUUUUCUUGUUUUCCAAACUUGCAAGUUUUUAGAUUUAUUUAUGUACUUUAAAGUAUAUUUUCAUCAAUUUUAAGUUGCAUUAUAAGCCUGUGUGGUAUAAGCAUUACUGUAAAUUCUGGAUUACAAGAUAAAUAAUUCAUUUUUUAGAUUCAAAGAUUUUGAAGUUAUAAAUAGAUUAUGGGUGUUUAUGUAAAUUCAUAUUUUUAUGAACACAUUCAAUGAUAUGAAAUCUAAGCAAAGGUUUGAUCCUUCCACUAAAUAUUAUGACGACUACUUUUUCGAAUAUUUUAUUUAUUUUUACAUUUAUAUAUGCAUCCUGUACAUGCAUUUUUGCAUCUUUAAAUUUCCCAUAAAAGCUCAAACAUCCGCAAUCUAUAAGAUUACUAAUAUAUUUUAUUACAUAGUUUCGUUUUAUUAACAUGCAAUUUAUUUAUUAUAUAUAUAAACUAUUCUCAUAAUUAUUAUAUGUUUCCAUGUUGUAAUAUGGUAAAGUUCGAAACCGAAACACACCACAAUAAUAGGAAAUGUAUAAUAAAUGAUGAAAUCCUUAUGCCAAAAUGAUGAAUGUACAAAUUUUUUAUUUUUCGGUAAUGAAGCGAACUUAAUGUCUUCUUCAAAUCUCAACUCUAUAAAUUAUAUAAAAUGCUGGACGUGGCACAACAAACGUAGUAUGACAACAGUGAUUAUACUCUACUUGAUUCAUCAUUCUAUCUAUUUUAUAUUUAAUCGCGAACUUCUAUAAUCUAUCGAAUCGUACAUUCGCGAUAUUGGCAUAAGAGAAAUGAUAUAAUGUAUGGAUAAUAAUACAUUCGAGUAUGCAAUACAACGUAUAUUAUAUGCGUGAAGUAAGUUAGUGAAACGAAACUAUUUCGUACGCGUACAUAUACAAAUACACGUAUGUAUUUAGAAUAUGUCAAACGUUUUUCUGAAAUCUCAAGAGAUCAGUGGAAAACUUCGUAGCCUGUUUAAGACUCGGAUUGAAGUAUAGUUAGAUAAGAGCAAUUAUCAAUGAUUUUUAAGAAAAGAAGAAUUUCUUGCACUUAUUUGAAUUGAUGAUAAUAAAUGAUGUAAGGAUUUUAGUAAAAUGAUUGGGAAGAUUCUGACUACGUGUAACUUUCUUAAAGAAUGAAAAAUUUCGAAGACGAAUGUUCAAUGUUACAUUGUAAAAUGUAGAUAUUCUUGAAUAUAUGUUUUAGUUAAAUAUGUAAGAAAGGAAAUUUGAUGUGUAUGUUAAAGAUUAAAAGUUACUACUAUUAUAGCUAUAAUGCUACUUUUUAUUUAGAAUUAAAAUCAUCCGCAUUCGAAUAAUCAUCUUUUACUCCUCAUCGUACUUUACAUCGAAUCAUUUUAUAUCAAUAAAAAAUCUAAAGUAUUUGUAUGGCAUAGUAUAUUUCCUAUUGCCUUUUUCAUUUUUACUAAACGUAUUAAAUAGGUACUAAUGUAUUAUCUAUUUAGUUAAUAAAAAUUCCGAAUUCCAAGUGAAAACCUAGAUUAAAGAACGCGCAAUAAAAUAUCGCAAAAUAUCGAAUAGCACAAAUAAUGAAAUAUAUAAUAGUAAACAAUAAAAUUUGAAAAAAAAAAUGUAAAUAUAAUGUAUAUACGCUACUGGACUACUUAGUUUCUUGCCAUAGAAAGAAAAAUUUUUAUAAAUAUCAUAAUAAAUGAUAGUCGGACAGAAAUAAUAAAUUCAUGAUAGAAAGAUGAAGUUGAACAUUCGAUCUAACAUCUAACAUUUUUUAAUUUUUUUAUCAAGAUAUGAGAUCAAACGUUUUUGUUAAAUAAUGAUACUUUUUCCAGUGUUUCUUCUCAGUUACAUUUAAUUGUCAAUUAAAAGCAGUUUUUAUCCACACAUACAUACAUACAUACAUACAACAGUGUUUUGCAUAGAUCAGCGUUUUGUUAUACAUACAUAUGUAAGUUAACACUAGAGUUAUUAGUGAUUAUAAUAACUAAUCCAUAAUUUUUCAUGGAAAUUUCAUAGAUCGACAAUAUAUUUUUAGGAAUUUGAAUGAUCAUAAGAUUAUGUAUGUAUGUAUAUGCAUAAUUGAGGAUUCCAGUUCGUAUGAUAACAAAAUUUAUAUUUUUUUUUAUAUACCUUCAACUUAAAUUUCUUUAGCAUAAAUUUUAUAGUUCUGGUGUUGU